rnacentral:lncRNA from 1 species
UACAUUGGCCAUUGAUCCCUUAAAGGCAUCACUUCUCCAUAUUAUUUCCUUUCUUCUACCCCUUAAAAGUUUUUUGGAAAUUUUACUAGCCAUAUUUGGAAGACUAGUGCGGAAAUUUUACGACGAAAUGAGAUGGUUUCACGGUGGCGGUGCCGCCAAGGGUCGCCGAUAUUUGCCACAAAUCUUAAUGGCAUUGGCCAUAUUGGCGGUUGCUAAUGUAGUGUCAGCAGAUCCUUAUAUAUAUUCUUCUC